CAAUGGGAGUGCGAAUCUCGAAAGCCUGUCUCAGUUCGGAUUGGAGGCUGAAACCCGCCUCCAUGAAGUUGGAUUCGCUAGUAAUCGCGCAUCAGCCAUGGCGCGGUGAAUACGUUCCCGGGCCUUGUACACACCGCCCGUCAAGCCAUGGGAGCCGGGGGGUGCCUGAAGUUCGUGACCGCAAGGAGCGACCUAGGGCAAAACUGGUGACUGGGGCUAAGUCGUAACAAGGUAGC
rnacentral:rRNA from 1 species